rnacentral:lncRNA from 1 species
CAAAUAUCAUGAAACUGCUUGGGGAACUUUCUACUGCUCAUUUUCACUACUACUUCCUCUGUUAACUGAUUCCAAUACCUUUUUAACAUCUUCUUGUUGAGCAUCAGGACCAAGAGAGAAAAGAAGAACACAAGAAGAGUAAAGAGACAAAAGUGACAAGAGCCUGGAAAGGAUGGGAGGCCCUGGGGAAAAGUACAUCCUAGGCUAGGAUACCGUGGUGUACUUGAGGGUCACAAGAAGUUGCGUUUUGCCCUAGCCAUCAUCGCUGUCC